rnacentral:pre_miRNA from 1 species
UGUUAAAAUUUCAUCCAUUUGUACUGUUUAAAACUGGUGUGACUGACAGAAUAUCCAAAAAAAAUGUCAAGUGUAUCUUACAUUGAUGUAUAAGAACUAUUUUUUAAGAGUAGAAGUGGAUGAAAUUUUUAACU